GCGUUCGUAGCUCAACGGAUAGAGCAUCUGACUACGGAUCAGAAGGUUGGGGGUUCGAAUCCCUCCGAGCGCACCA
rnacentral:tRNA from 2 species